AGCGAACGCUGGCGGCAGGCCUAACACAUGCAAGUCGAACGAACCCUUCGGGGUUAGUGGCGGACGGGUGAGUAACACGUGGGAACGUGCCUUUAGGUUCGGAAUAACUCAGGGAAACUUGUGCUAAUACCGAAUGUGCCCUUCGGGGGAAAGAUUUAUCGCCUUUAGAGCGGCCCGCGUCUGAUUAGCUAGUUGGUGAGGUAAUGGCUAACCAAGGCUACGAUCAGUAGCUGGUCUGAGAGGAUGCCCAGCCACAUUGGGACUGAGACACGGCCCAAACUCCUACGGGAGGCAGCAGUGGGGAAUCUUGCGCAAUGGGCGAAAGCCUGACGCAGCCAUGCCGCGUGGAUGAUGAAGGUCUUAGGAUUGUAAAAUCCUUUCACCGGUGAAGAUAAUGACUGUAGCCGGAGAAGAAGCCCCGGCUAACUUCGUGCCAGCCGCCGCCGUAAAAC
rnacentral:rRNA from 1 species